GACGAACGCUGGCGGCGUGCCUAAUACAUGCAAGUAGAACGCUUGAGGAGGAGCUUGCUCUGCUGGAUGAGUUGCGAACGGGUGAGUAACCCGUAGGUAACCUGCCUGGUAGCGGGGGAUAACUAGUGGCAACGAUAGCUAAUACCGCAUAAGAGUAGAUGUUGCAGGACAUUCACUGAAAAGGUGCAAUUGCGUCAAGACCAGAUGGACCUCCGUCGUAGUAGCGAGAUGGUGGGGUAAAGGCCUACCAAGGUGACGAUCCGUAGCUGAUCUGAGAGGAGGAGCAGUGACACUGGAACUGAGACACGGUCCAGACUCCUACGGGAGGCAGCAGUGGGGAAUAUUGGACAAUGGGCGAAAGCCUGAUCCAGCCAUGCCGCGUGUGUGAAGAAGGUCUUCGGAUUGUAAAGCACUUUAAGUUGGGAGGAAGGGCAGUAAGUUAAUACCUUGCUGUUUUGACGUUACCAACAGAAUAAGCACCGGCUAACUUCGUG
rnacentral:rRNA from 1 species